AAGGGAGUCCUGAGCUGUGUUACCAUAGUAUGACAGAAAAUGGAAGAGAGUGCUGAGCUGUGUUACCAUAGUAUAACAGAUAACGGAAGGGAGCGCUGCGCUGUGUUACCAUAGUAUAACAGAUAAUGGAAGAGAGUGCUGAGCUGUGUUACUAUAGUAUAGCAGAUAAUGGAAGGGAGUACUGAGCGGUGUUACCAUAGUAUAACAGAUAAUGGAAGAGAGUGCUGUGCUGUGUUACUAUAGUAUAACAGAUAAUGGAAGGGAGUGCUGUGCUGUGUUACCAUAGUAUAACAGAUAAUGGAAGGGAGUGCUGUGAUGUGUUACCAUAGUAUAACAGAUGACGGAAGGGAGUGCUGUGCUGUGUUACCAUAGUAUAACAGAUAAUAGAAGGGAGUGCUGUGAUGUGUUACCAUAGUAUAACAGAUAAUGGAAGGGAGUACUGAGCUGUGUUACUAUAGUAUAACAGAUAAUGGAAGGGAGUACUGAGCGGUGUUACCAUAGUAUAACAGAUAAUGGAAGGGAGUGCUGAGCUGUGUUACUAUAGUAUAACAGAUAAUGGAAGGGAGUACUGAGCGGUGUUACCAUAGUAUAACAGAUAAUGGAAGAGAGCGCUGUGCUGUGCUACCAUAGUAUAACAGAUAAUGGAAGGGAGUACUGAGCUGUGUUACUAUAGUAUAACAGAUAACGGAAGGGAGUAAUGAGCUGUGUUACCAUAGUAUAACAGAUAAUGGAAGAGAGUGCUGGGCUGUGUUACCAUAGUAUAAUAGAUAAUGGAAGGGAGUACUGAGCAUUAUUACCAUAGUAUAAAAGAUACUGGAAGAUAGUGCUGUGCUGUGUUACCAUAGUAUAACGGAAGGGAGUGCUGUGCUGUGUUACCAUAGUAUAACAGAUAAUGGAAGGGAGUGCUGUGAUGUGUUACCAUAGUAUAACAGAUAAUGGAAGGGAGUACUGAGCUGUGUUACCAUAGUAUAACAGAUAAUUGAAGGGAGUACUGAGCGGUGUUACCAUAGUAUAACAGAUAAUGGAAGGGAGUACUGAGCGGUGUUACCAUAGUAUAACAGAUAAUGGAAGGGAGUACUGAGCGGUGUUACCAUAGUAUAACAGAUAAUGGAAGGGAGUGCUGAGCUGUGUUACUAUAGUAUAACAGAUAAUGGAAGGGAGUACUGAGCGGUGUUACCAUAGUAUAACAGAUAAUGGAAGAGAGCGCUGUGCUGUGCUACCAUAGUAUAACAGAUAAUGGAAGGGAGUACUGAGCUGUGUUACUAUAGUAUAACAGAUAACGGAAGGGAGUAAUGAGCUGUGUUACCAUAGUAUAACAGAUAAUGGAAGAGAGUGCUGGGCUGUGUUACCAUAGUAUAAUAGAUAAUGGAAGGGAGUACUGAGCAUUAUUACCAUAGUAUAAAAGAUACUGGAAGAUAGUGCUGUGCUGUGUUACCAUAGUAUAACGGAAGGGAGUGCUGUGCUGUGUUACCAUAGUAUAACAGAUAAUGGAAGGGAGUGCUGUGAUGUGUUACCAUAGUAUAACAGAUAAUGGAAGGGAGUACUGAGCUGUGUUACCAUAGUAUAACAGAUAAUUGAAGGGAGUACUGAGCGGUGUUACCAUAGUAUAACAGAUAAUGGAAGGGAGUACUGAGCUGUGUUACCAUAGUAUAACAGAUAAUGGAAGAGAGUGCUGAGCUGUGUUACCAUAAUAUAACAGAUAAUGGAAGAGAGUGCUGUGCUGUGUUACCAUAGUAUAACGGAAGGGAGCGCUGUGCUGUGUUACCAUACUAUAACAGAUAAUGGAAGAGAGUGCUGAGCUGUGUUACUAUAGCAUAACAGAUAAUGGAAGAGAGUGCUGAGCUGUGUUACUAUAGUAUAACAGAUAAUGGAAGAGAGUGCUGAGCUGUGUUACUAUAGUAUAACACAUAAUGGAAGAGAGUGCUGAGCUGUGUUAGGCUAGUUUCACACGUAUUAAAGGGGUUGUCCGGGUUCAGAGCUGAACCCGAACA